AGAGUUAAACAGUACGUGAAAUUGUUGAAAGGGAAACGAUUGAAGUCAGUCAUACCAACGGGAAAUCAACCUUUUGAGUUUGGUCUCGUGGGUUUCGAAGAGUUUAAAAGCCUUCGGAUUUUCGAGAUUGGGUUCUUCUGGUGUACUUUCUCGUACGGUUAGUCAACAUCGGUUUUGAAUGUCAUAAAAUGACUGGAGGAAUGUGGCUUCGAUCUCGUAUUGAAGUGUUAUAGCCUUUGGUAGAUGUGAUGAUCAAGAUCGAGGAUUGCAAUGGAUACCCAUUUAUUUGGGCUCUUCGUCUGAUCUCUGAUACGUUAUCUUGGUAUCAAAAGCUUGCUUAUGAUGUUAGGGUAUUACGGUCAAAAGGUUAGAACGGAUUAAAUUCGUUAAGGAUGUUGACGUAAUGACUUUAAACGACC
rnacentral:ncRNA from 2 species